AAGUGGCCUGUGGUCUGAGGCAGGUGCAACGUGAGAAAUCCAGAGAAUCAUGAGGGGGUAGGGCAGGCUUAGAAAAGGGAGAAUCUGCUGCCAGAGAGGCCAGAUGCCAUGAGUCCAAAGGAAUCAUCCCGCCCCCAGCAGACAAGCGUGGAGCCAGCCUGCUCCUCUGGCCAAAGCAUUCCACCCCCGGACCUCUCCUCCAGGAAGAAGAGAUGUGGAAGAAGAGAUGUGGGUAUGGUGGAUUCUGACCCUUGGCUCCCCAAAGUUCCACAGCCCAUAGGAUAAGAAGAAACCAAGUCCUAAAAGUAGGCCAGCACCAGGGUUCAGGCCUCUGACUUCAAGCCAAGGGCUCAUCAUCUUGAAUUGCGCACGAAUUUUUACACAGCGCCAAAGGAAACUGCCUGUACUUACUGUUGUAGGUGCUUUGCUGGAUUCAGGAUGCAGACAAGGUCCACGCAUUGUGGUUGGAACAAUGACUAGAUCUUUACCUGGUCCACAGCCCUCCCCAGUCUGGCUGCAACCUCUCAUGAGGCUGAGCUCACCAUGAACCCCUGCUCUAGGCGUCUGCAUAGUGUUCUGUUUGUCCCCGUGACUGUCCACCUCUUCUUUGGCCUGUUGGCAUGCGCUUAUCCUCCAGACCUCAGUCCAAAGCACAGCUUUGACAUCACAUAGGCACCAUUUGGUGGUCUUCACAAGUCACUGGGCUUUGAUAAACACCCUUCACCAUAAGGAAAAUGAGUCGGAUGACUUAAGGAUCACCCCAAAUCAGGCAUAAAAUCUGGAUUCUUCUGGUCGCAGGCCAGCAGGUCUUGGUGCCUUCGGAUCCUUAGAGUGUCCUAAUUUGGCUACAGUUUUCUGUCUGCAGAAAGGCUCCCAAAGGGAAGACGCCAGGCUGGAACGAGAGUGACUCAUCCCGGGCCCUCAUUGUGCCUGAUUCACCCAGAGGAAGCUUUGUGUGGACACAGCUACCCUCUGGAGAUAUUUCAGGCCUUUGGGAACAGAGUAGGGUUCCUGCCUUUGUAACGAGCAAGUUCUUGGCUCCCUUCCGCCCUGUUUGCCACCUUCCCUCUAUUUCUGUGGUUUCCUUAUUUGCCAGUUCCUGGGCCUGGUGGACCCCACCACGACUUCUUUUUGUGAGUCCGUUCUGUCCUGCAUCCCUACCACAGCUGUACCUGGCCCCAGACUCCCUCCUCCUAGCUGGCGGGCGGGUGGGCAGGGUUCCUCCCCUAACCCAUCAGGGCCUCAUCUCUGGAGGCAAUUACUGCCUGGCCUGUGAAAAUAUAUAAGGAGACUUGAA
ensembl:lncRNA LINC00840 long intergenic non-protein coding RNA 840